UACAUGCAGUCGAGCGGACCGACGGGAGCUUGCUCCCUUAGGUCAGCGGCGGACGGGUGAGUAACACGUGGGUAACCUGCCUGUAAGACUGGGAUAACUCCGGGAAACCGGGGCUAAUACCGGAUGCUUGAUUGAACCGCAUGGUUCAAUUAUAAAAGGUGGCUUUCAGCUACCACUUGCAGAUGGACCCGCGGCGCAUUAGCUAGUUGGUGAGGUAACGGCUCACCAAGGCGACGAUGCGUAGCCGACCUGAGAGGGUGAUCGGCCACACUGGGACUGAGACACGGCCCAGACUCCUACGGGAGGCAGCAGUAGGGAAUCUUCCGCAAUGGACGAAAGUCUGACGGAGCAACGCCGCGUGAGUGAUGAAGGUUUUCGGAUCGUAAAACUCUGUUGUUAGGGAAGAACAAGUACCGUUCGAAUAGGGCGGUACCUUGACGGUACCUAACCAAAAAGCCACGGCUAACUACGUGCCAGCAGCCGCGGUAAUACGUAGGUGGCAAGCGUUGUCCGGAAUUAUUGGGCGUAUAGCGC
rnacentral:rRNA from 1 species